ACUGUUAAACGUGCACCACGCCAUCACGCAGUGCGCGUGCAUGUGAGCAGUGUUAAUAAAUCGAUUUAGCCUUCGUCCAGUUCUUUUCCUGGUGAAAAAAAUCGUUUUGCAGUAAUCACGAGAACGAGACGACGGGACGAUGUAAAUACCAACUCAAUGCACAAUUUCACUUGCGACAACCACGCAACGGUAUACCACGACUAAAGUAUAUUGUAUUUAUAUAUGUAUACAGUAUAGGUACACGCAUAUUUUAUGACUCUGACCUCCCGAGAAGGGGUUGGGCAGCACUAAAUUGACUUCGAACGGGUCACGGAAGAACAAGACACAUGCUCCACAAAUGGGGACUGCAGAGACUCUCGCCAGGAUGUGAUUGCGAACACGAAAAGCAAACUGCUACACACAUCACUGAUGAAUGCACUAUCUAACGAUACCAAGGAGGAAUGAAAGAACUACACAAAGCCAAAACAGACGUAGUGCAAUGGCUGAAUUCCUUGGACAUAAACAUUUAAUUGAAGAUAUAUGCAACACUCAUUCUAGUCACCUCAUUACCUAUAUAAUCUGUUAUCACUUAGUUAUAUUUUAUCUAUUAAUAUAUUUUACUACUUGUACCUAUUUUAUACUGUAUUACUUAUGUUAAACCGUGAAUG